CAGCCGCCACGGUAAAACGAAGGGUGCAAGCGUUAAUCGGAAUUACUGGGCGUAAAGGGUGCGUAGGCGACCCCGCAAGUCUCAUGUGAAAUCUUCAGGCUCAACUUGAAGUCUGCAUGGGAAACUGCGGGGCUGGAGUAUGGGGGAGGUGAGUGGAAUUCCUGGUGUAGCGGUGAAAUGCGUAGAUAUCAGGAGGAACACCUGUGGCGAAAGCGGCUCACUGGACCAUAACUGACGCUGAGGCACGAAAGCUAGGGGAGCGAACAGGAUUAGAUACCCCAGUAGUCCCUGUCUCUUAUAC
rnacentral:rRNA from 1 species